GAUGAACGCUGGCGGCGUGCCUAAUACAUGCAAGUCGAACGGGUGUUUGAGCAAUCGAACACUUAGUGGCGAACGGGUGAGUAACGCGUUGGUGACCUGCCCCAAAGCGGGGGAUAACAGUUCGAAAGGACUGCUAAUACCCCAUGAGAUCUAGAGAGUUAGAGGUAUCUAGAUGAAAGGAGCAAUCCGCUUUGGGAGGGCCUGCGUCCCAUCAGCUAGUUGGUAGGGUAAAAGCCUACCAAGGCGACGACGGGUAGGGGACCUGAGAGGGUGACUCCCCCACACUGGCACUGAAACACGGGCCAGACACCUACGGGUGGCUGG
rnacentral:rRNA from 1 species